rnacentral:snoRNA from 1 species
AGACUAUGGUGAGGGCGUAUUUGAAUCAACAAUUUAAAUCACUCCUAAGCUUCGUGAAAACUUUCUUCUUCCAGUUGUUUAAACAUUGCGAUCUCUCUCCUUAAUUA